rnacentral:rRNA from 1 species
AGCGAACGCUGGCGGCAGGCUUAACACAUGCAAGUCGAACGGGCAUCUUCGGAUGUCAGUGGCAGACGGGUGAGUAACACGUGGGAACGUACCCUUCGGUUCGGAAUAACUCAGGGAAACUUGAGCUAAUACCGGAUACGCCCUUUUGGGGAAAGGUUUACUGCCGAAGGAUCGGCCCGCGUCUGAUUAGCUUGUUGGUGGGGUAACGGCCUACCAAGGCGACGAUCAGUAGCGGGUCUGAGAGGAUGAUCAGCCACACUGGGACUGAGACACGGCCCAGACUCCUACGGGAGGCAGCAGUGGGGAAUAUUGGACAAUGGGCGCAAGCCUGAUCCAGCCAUGCCGCGUGAGUGAUGAAGGCCUUAGGGUUGUAAAGCUCUUUUGUCCGGGACGAUAAUGACGGUACCGGAAGAAUAAGCCCCGGCUAACUUCGUG